rnacentral:rRNA from 1 species
GGGUUGUGAGGUUAAGCGACUAAGCGUACACGGUGGAUGCCCUGGCAGUCAGAGGCGAUGAAGGACGUGCUAAUCUGCGAUAAGCGCCGGUAAGGUGAUAUGAACCGUUAUAACCGGCGAUUUCCGAAUGGGGAAACCCAGUGUGAUUCGUCACACUAUCAUUAACUGAAUCCAUAGGUUAAUGAGGCGAACCGGGGGAACUGAAACAUCUAAGUACCCCGAGGAAAAGAAAUCAACCGAGAUUCCCCCAGUAGCGGCGAGCGAACGGGGAGGAGCCCAGAGCCUGAAUCAGCAUGUGUGUUAGUGGAAGCGUCUGGAAAGGCGCGCGAUACAGGGUGACAGCCCCGUACACAAAAGCGCAUGUGCUGUGAGCUCGAUGAGUAGGGCGGGACACGUGGUAUCCUGUCUGAAUAUGGGGGGACCAUCCUCCAAGGCUAAAUACUCCUGACUGACCGAUAGUGAACCAGUACCGUGAGGGAAAGGCGAAAAGAACCCCGGCGAGGGGAGUGAAAAAGAACCUGAAACCGUGUACGUACAAGCAGUGGGAGCACCCUUCGGGGUGUGACUGCGUACCUUUUGUAUAAUGGGUCAGCGACUUAUAUUCUGUAGCAAGGUUAACCGUAUAGGGGAGCCGGAGGGAAACCGAGUCUUAACCGGGCGUUAAGUUGCAGGGUAUAGACCCGAAACCCGGUGAUCUAGCCAUGGGCAGGUUGAAGGUUGGGUAACACUAACUGGAGGACCGAACCGACUAAUGUUGAAAAAUUAGCGGAUGACCUGUGGCUGGGGGUGAAAGGCCAAUCAAACCGGGAGAUAGCUGGUUCUCCCCGAAAGCUAUUUAGGUAGCGCCUCGUGAAUUCAUCUCCGGGGGUAGAGCACUGUUUCGGCUAGGGGGCCAUCCCGGCUUACCAACCCGAUGCAAACUGCGAAUACCGGAGAAUGUUAUCACGGGAGACACACGGCGGGUGCUAACGUCCGUCGUGAAGAGGGAAACAACCCAGACCGCCAGCUAAGGUCCCAAAGUCAUGGUUAAGUGGGAAACGAUGUGGGAAGGCCCAGACAGCCAGGAUGUUGGCUUAGAAGCAGCCAUCAUUUAAAGAAAGCGUAAUAGCUCACUGGUCGAGUCGGCCUGCGCGGAAGAUGUAACGGGGCUAAACCAUGCACCGAAGCUGCGGCAGCGAACGUAUCACUUAAAGCGAUUCAGCGGGUUACGAUUGACGGAGCGAAGCGACGUCAAAGCGUAUACAAAGUCGAGUCGGUUUAAGGAUACGUUCGUUGGGUAGGGGAGCGUUCUGUAAGCCCGUGAAGGUGGCCUGUGAGGGUUGCUGGAGGUAUCAGAAGUGCGAAUGCUGACAUAAGUAACGAUAAAGCGGGUGAAAAGCCCGCUCGCCGGAAGACCAAGGGUUCCUGUCCAACGUUAAUCGGGGCAGGGUGAGUCGACCCCUAAGGCGAGGCCGAAAGGCGUAGUCGAUGGGAAACGGGUUAAUAUUCCCGUACUUGGUGUUACUGCGAAGGGGGGACGGAGAAGGCUAUGUUGGCCGGGCGACGGUUGUCCCGGUUUAAGCGUGUAGGUGUGUGUUCCAGGUAAAUCCGGUUCACUUUAACACUGAGGCGUGACGACGAGGCACUACGGUGCUGAAGCAACAAAUGCCCUGCUUCCAGGAAAAGCCUCUAAGCAUCAGGUAACACGAAAUCGUACCCCAAACCGACACAGGUGGUCAGGUAGAGAAUACCAAGGCGCUUGAGAGAACUCGGGUGAAGGAACUAGGCAAAAUGGUGCCGUAACUUCGGGAGAAGGCACGCUGACACGUAGGUGAAGUGAUUUACUCAUGGAGCUGAAGUCAGUCGAAGAUACCAGCUGGCUGCAACUGUUUAUUAAAAACACAGCACUGUGCAAACACGAAAGUGGACGUAUACGGUGUGACGCCUGCCCGGUGCCGGAAGGUUAAUUGAUGGGGUCAGCGCAAGCGAAGCUCCUGAUCGAAGCCCCGGUAAACGGCGGCCGUAACUAUAACGGUCCUAAGGUAGCGAAAUUCCUUGUCGGGUAAGUUCCGACCUGCACGAAUGGCGUAAUGAUGGCCAGGCUGUCUCCACCCGAGACUCAGUGAAAUUGAACUCGCUGUGAAGAUGCAGUGUACCCGCGGCAAGACGGAAAGACCCCGUGAACCUUUACUAUAGCUUGACACUGAACAUUGAGCCUUGAUGUGUAGGAUAGGUGGGAGGCUUUGAAGUGUGGACGCCAGUCUGCAUGGAGCCGACCUUGAAAUACCACCCUUUAAUGUUUGAUGUUCUAACGUGGACCCGUAAUCCGGGUUGCGGACAGUGUCUGGUGGGUAGUUUGACUGGGGCGGUCUCCUCCUAAAGAGUAACGGAGGAGCACGAAGGUUGGCUAAUCCUGGUCGGACAUCAGGAGGUUAGUGCAAUGGCAUAAGCCAGCUUGACUGCGAGCGUGACGGCGCGAGCAGGUGCGAAAGCAGGUCAUAGUGAUCCGGUGGUUCUGAAUGGAAGGGCCAUCGCUCAACGGAUAAAAGGUACUCCGGGGAUAACAGGCUGAUACCGCCCAAGAGUUCAUAUCGACGGCGGUGUUUGGCACCUCGAUGUCGGCUCAUCACAUCCUGGGGCUGAAGUAGGUCCCAAGGGUAUGGCUGUUCGCCAUUUAAAGUGGUACGCGAGCUGGGUUUAGAACGUCGUGAGACAGUUCGGUCCCUAUCUGCCGUGGGCGCUGGAGAACUGAGGGGGGCUGCUCCUAGUACGAGAGGACCGGAGUGGACGCAUCACUGGUGUUCGGGUUGUCAUGCCAAUGGCACUGCCCGGUAGCUAAAUGCGGAAGAGAUAAGUGCUGAAAGCAUCUAAGCACGAAACUUGCCCCGAGAUGAGUUCUCCCUGAGACUUAGAGUCUCCUGAAGGAACGUUGAAGACGACGACGUUGAUAGGCCGGGUGUGUAAGCGCAGCGAUGCGUUGAGCUAACCGGUACUAAUGAACCGUGAGGCUUAACCUUACAACGCCGAAG